rnacentral:rRNA from 1 species
GAUGAACGCUAGCUACAGGCUUAACACAUGCAAGUCGCAGGGUAACAUGAGGACAGCUUGCUUUCCUUGAUGACGACUGGCGCACGGGUGAGUAACGCGUAUCCAACCUUCCCAUAACUACGGGAUAACCCGUUGAAAGACGGCCUAAUACCGUAUGAUAUCGUUUGCUGACAUCAAAUAACGAUUAAAGGUUUAGCGGUUAUGGAUGGGGAUGCGUCUGAUUAGCUUGUUGGCGGGGUAACGGCCCACCAAGGCGACGAUCAGUAGGGGUUCUGAGAGGAAGGUCCCCCACAGUGGAACUGAGACACGGUCCAAACGCCUACGGGAGGCAGCAGUGAGGAAGAUUGGUCAAUGGGCGAGAGCCUGAACCAGCCAAGUAGCGUGCAGGACGACGGCCCUAGGGGUUGUAAACUGCUUUUAGGUGGGGAUAAAGUGCGUGACGUGUCAUGCAUUGCAGGUACCACAUGAAUAAGGACCGGCUAAUUCCGUG